rnacentral:rRNA from 1 species
CCCUUAGAUGUUCUGGGCUGCACGCGUGCUACAAUGGCGUUUCCAGCAAGUCUGCGAACCCGAGAGGGCCAGCGGAUCUUCGAAUUGGCGUCGUGAUCGGGACAGUCGAUUGCAAUUAUUUGACUCAAACGAGGAAUUCCUUGUAAUCGCGAUUCAUCAUAUCGCGCUGAAUACGUCCCUGCCCUUUGUACACACCGCCCGUCGCUCCUACCGAUUGAGCGAUCCGGUAAAUGUUUUGGAUUGGUGCCGGGGCGGCUAGCUGCCGGUCGCUACGAAAUUUUGUGAACCUUAUCGCUUAGAGGAAGUAAAAGUCGUAACA